GGGGGUCUAAUUAAGUGGUAGAACAUGUAGUUAAUAUGUACAAUGACCUAAGUUCAAUCCCUAGCACCCCCA
rnacentral:tRNA from 1 species